ACAGAGCAUGAACGGGGGAGGGGCAGAGACAGAGGGAGACACAGAAUCGGAAACAGGCUCCAGGCUCCGAGCCGUCAGCCCAGAGCCUGACGCGGGGCUCAAACUCACGGACCGCGAGAUCGUGACCUGGCUGAAGUCGGACGCUUAACCGACUGCGCCACCCAGGCACCCCUGGAAUUUUCUUUUAAAGAAAGAGUGAGGACCACUCUCCGGCCUCCUUCCCCUUUCUCUCUGCACAGAGGUGAUUGCCGUCUGAACUAUGGUCUUUUCCUUCUCUGCCUGCAGCUCAGAUAUUAUUCAAGCACUCACCGCUGUGUGAAGGCUGCUGUCUGUCCUUGAUGAGUCAGUACGGGUUUUUCAGCAUUUUGAAUGCUCUUGCCUCCCUGUUUCCAAACGUGUGUUUGUAGGCACGAUAUGUAAUACUGCUUUGUGUGUUUUAAAAUUUGAAUAUGCAUGGUAUUACAAUGCAUGUAGCCUUUCUGAUAAGUUUUCUUGAGGUAUAGUCCACAUCCUGUAUAAAUCAUCUAUUUCAAGCACACAGUUUAAUCGUUUUUGACGUCUUCACAGAACCGCACCACAAUUGACUUUAGAACAUUUUCAUUACCCACCUCCAAAAAACCCUGCACCAAUUACCAGCCACUCCCCCUUCUCCCCAGCACCCCCCACCUCCCAGACCUCAGCAACCACCCAUCUGCUUCUCGACUCUGCGGACUUGCCUGUUCGUUUCACAUAAACGGCAUUAUAUCUGGGACCUUUUGUGUCUGACGUCUUUUAUGCAACAUAACAUCUUUCCGAUUCACCCAUGUUGCUCAGGUGUUGGUGCUUUAUGCCUUUUUACGGUCUACCAUUUCGCCGUAUGGAGGUAUGGCUUUUUAUUUUAGUCACCUAUCAAUGGAUAUCUGUUUUUUCCCCCACUUUUUGGCUAUUAUCAGUAACGCUGCAAAUGAACAUUUCCGUACCAGUGUUUGUGUGAACACGUUUGAGUUUGGCGGUAAGUGUCUAGAGCAGACUUGCUGGGUCGUAGGGUAGCUCUCUGUUCAGUCUUUUAAGGAGCUGCUAGAGUUUCCCAGACAAGCCACAUCACUUUACAUUUCCACCUGCAGUGUAUGAGGGUUUCAACCUCUCCGUGUCCUUGCCAACACUUGUAACUGGCUGAUUUCUUUAUUUUGGCCAUCCUAAUGGGUGGUGUGAACUGGUUUUGGUUUGCAUUUCCCUAAUGACUAGUCACGGUGACAUUGAGCUGUGACGUCUUUUCAUCCGCUUACUGGCUAUUUGUGUAUCUUUUUUUCAAGAACUAUUUAUUCAGCUCCUUUGUCCAUUUUUAAAAUGGAAUGACUUAUCUUUUGAUUUUUGCAGUAUAAGAACUCUUUACACAGCUUAUUUCAUUUUAAAUGUUUAUUUAUUUAUUUUGAGAGAGAGCGCGAGAGAGAAUCCCAAGCAGGCUCCGCACUGUCAGCGCAGAGCUCUCGAUGCGGGGCUCCAACCCAUGAACCGUGCGAUCACGACGCGAGCCGAUAUCGAGAGUCAGACGCUUAACCAACUGAGCCACCCAGGCGCCCCUCCUGAGGCAGAGCUAGAUUCCUACACCUGUAGAGAGGAAGGAGAAAAACUCAGGUGUCUACACAAGCCAGAGCACCGGAUACGGAUACAGCACCAGCCCAGAUGGACGGGGCAUUCCAUUUCUCCACAGAAGCUGAGCUCAGAAAAAUGUCAGGUCGAUAAUGAAGAAAGACUGGGAGGAAACGUAAUACAGAUUGUUUUGUAGGACCUUGGAGUUUAAUAACAGAGACCCAGAUGCCUAAUCCGUCCAGCUCGGUCUUGUGCCUGACUCACUGGAUGGCCUUCGUGAAAUCAUUCUCCAUCGACACAGGACAAAGGGACAUUUUGAGGGGUCAUCUGGUCCUCCUGUUGCUUCCAUUUUCACUAUUUAUUCAGACAGCAGUUACUGAGCAGCUGGAUCCCACGUGCACAGGCUUCCGCCAGCACUAGGAACACGGAGGUGAUCGGGCUGUGGCCUUGGUCUCAGGGCUGACAGUCGGGGAGACAGACAGGCAGUUACCCUUCAGUGUGCUGGGGACUGUGGGGUCCUUUGGAGGGGGAGUCCUUCCCAGAGGGGUCUGGGAACUAAGUCUUGAAAGAUGAAGGGGAUUUGGCACA